CACGUAGGGCGCAAGCGUUGUCCGGAAUUAUUGGGCGUAAAGAGCUCGUAGGCGGUCUGUUGCGUCCGCUGUGAAAACUCGGGGCUUAACCCCGAGCCUGCAGUGGAUACGGGCAGACUAGAGGUAGGUAGGGGAGAAUGGAAUUCCCGGUGUAGCGGUGAAAUGCGCAGAUAUCGGGAGGAACACCGGUGGCGAAGGCGACAUCCUGGACCGGUAUUGACGCUGAGUGAGCGAAAGCCAGGGGAGCAAACGGG
rnacentral:rRNA from 1 species